rnacentral:tRNA from 2 species
GCCGUAAUCGUCUAGUGGUUAGGACAUCAGUUUGUGGACUACCCCAGUUGAAACACUGGAAACCGAGGUUCGAUUCCUCGUUACGGCA